UACGUAGGGGGCAAGCGUUGUCCGGAAUCAUUGGGCGUAAAGAGCGCGUAGGCGGCCCAGUAAGUCCGCUCUGAAAGUCAGGGGCUCAACCCCUGGAUGCGGGUGGAUACUGCUGGGCUAGAGUCCGGAAGAGGAGAGUGGAAUUCCUGGUGUAGCGGUGAAAUGCGCAGAUAUCAGGAAGACACCAAUGGCGAAGGCAGCUCUCUGGGACGGUACUGACACUGAGACGCGAAAGCGUGGGGAGCGAACAGG
rnacentral:rRNA from 1 species